CAGGCCUUUAUGAGGGAGGAGUGACUGCUGUUUGCAGACUUUGAGAGAAGAAACUAGGCGUGCAUGGUCUGGCACGUUCUGAUUCCCUUUGGGAUCUGUUUGCCUCCAGAGAACAUAUCAUGGUCUGCGCCGAGGCGUCUGGGAAUACGACUGGGGGCUUAAGUCAUGGUAGUGGUCUGCUUAAUCAAGUGUUCAUUUGUUUUUAAAAAAACAACCUAGCUAAUCAUCGGAUUUGUGCUCUUGUGGCUUGCUUUAAAGGUUGCAUAAUUGACUUUAAACUGGCAUGAUUUAGGUGAGUGGCUUUAAGACUUGGGAUUUUGUGAGUGCAAGCUAGUUAUUUUGACCUUGACAGGUCAUCACUGCUUCAAGUAGCUUUAUCCUCAGGCAAUUGACUGUGUCUCAGCAAAAAUGGGCCACAAUGGCCUUGGCAGAUGUUGGCUGCUUGGGCUCUAGAAUGCAAACUGCUGUAGCUUGACUCUAAACUGUAUUCUGUCGUGGCACUGCAAAAGGGACAAAAAAGUGGAUUUAUUAUUUUGCACAUUGAUAGGGAGAAAAAUGCUUGCUGCUUAUGCUCUGUUUUUUUCAGGCAGGUCUUCAGAUUGGGACUUUUUUUUUUUUUUUUUUGCUUUUUAGGGCUGUACGCAUGGCAUAUGGAAAUUCCCAGGGGUUGAAUUGGAGUGGCAGCUGCCAGCUUACGCCACGACCACAGCAACUUGGGAUCUGAGCCAUGUCUGUGACCUACACCAAGGGCAAGGAUCGAACCCACGUCCUCAUGGAUCCUUGUCGGAUUCAUUUCCCCUGCACCACAACGGGAACUCCCACAUUGGGACUUGGAACAGCGGAAGCUGUUGCGUUCCAAGUGAACUACACUAGUGAAUUUCAAACUUUAAUGCAUUAAUGCCCAGCCUGAACAGACAGUGCUAGAUCAGCUGCCUGAAAUGCCAUCCUUUUUCUGUUGCUUCUAAAGCCGCAUUCGUGGCAAAGUAAGAACUGGUAUCUUUGAUGAGCGCUCCUUACCCACAUGAAUUCGCAGGUGCACCUUCCACUGUUGUCACCACAGUGUUUUAACGUGGCUGUGGCUUUGUUCGGCAGGAAAUAGAUUUGUCAAGACAGGAUGCUUAUGAGAGAUGCAGGUGGGCAGGCAAGGAGGCUCUGCCUAACCUUAGUUUUAAAUUCCAGAGGCCCAGACUCGGAUUUUAUUUGUAUUAGUUUGGUCAGUUUUGGUAAUUAUGAAAAACUAAAAUCAUGUAUUUCCUUACUGUAAAGGGAAUAGUCCUUCUUGGUCGGAACUAGAAAACAACCCAAAGAGACUGCAAAACUAAAGGUUAUGACAGUAGCUGAGGAGGCCUGUACCUGGAACAACAUAUUUCUUGGAAUCCCAUUUCCAGAGAAAUCAAGAAGUGGUUUGGAAAAAUAGGUUGCAGCCAUACACUCCAAAAGGAAUGAGAGAAGAAUAAAAAUGAAGGAAAGCACUUAAGUACACGUGAUGAAGAUAAAGCAUUGUUUCAGAUUGUAGGUGAUAUUCUAGGCAGAUGUGAAGAAGAAAAAAGCAUUAUAUCAUCAAGGCUACAAUAAAGAGAUUUUUUAAAAAAAGAAAAUGCUCUAGAUUUCAUUUCUUUUAAAGAGAACAUGUAAAAUAGAGAAAUUAUUUCUGUUAUUCACAGCGACAAACUAGGAUCCAGUAAUUUCAUAGAGAAGUUAUAGAGGAACUAAAAGAGGAAGAGAAGCAAGAUCUUAGAGAGCAGGUUGAAGUGCUGCACAGAGUGGGAUUCAGGGAGUUCCCAUGUGGCACAGUGGAAACAAAUUUGACUAGUGUCCAUGAGGAUGCAGGUUCGAUCCUUGAUCAUCUGGCUGUUGCCAUGAGCUGUGGUGUAGGUAGCAGAAGUCGCUCAGAUCCCACAUUACUGUGGCUGUGGUAUAGACCAGCAGCUGCAACUCCAAUUCGACCCCUAGCCUGGGAACUUCCACAUGCUGUGGGUGAGGCCCUAAAAAGCCAAAAAAAAAAAAAAAA
rnacentral:lncRNA from 1 species